rnacentral:lncRNA from 1 species
UGCAAUACAGCGAGCGAUACGGAGAAAUCCUGAAUGACGACUUCGUUAAGGUAUGUCUCGGUGCGGACCACCAAGUUUCCUUCUCCGUAAUCGUCAGUCAUUUCCAGGUAGUGAGCAGCACACCUCAAGACCGCAACAUUUGCAGUGGUAAUCUCGAAGUUGAUUCCAUAGCAGAACUUGGCUACCAGCUCGAAUACUUCUGCACCACCUGGUAUUUCCAGUAACUUGAUUUGUGAUGGAUCUAAGUCUCUUGUCUCCACAACCAGCUUCCGUAUUCUUCCACUCCGUGACACAAGUGGGAACUGUUAGCACAUUAAACAGGCAAGUUUGAGAAAACUUCAAUAGUUCUUUGGGAGUUCUGUGAUUGCUAAUGGUGCUGGAAUGUAAAGGAGAUGAUGUAUGAAUUCACCCACCUUGUGGAGUGCAAAGCUCGUACCUGCAACUUCCACGGAUAUAUC